rnacentral:rRNA from 1 species
GUGGGGAAUAUUGCGCAAUGGGCGGAAGCCUGACGCAGCGACGCCGCGUGAGGGAUGAAGGCCUUCGGGUUGUAAACCUCUUUCAGCAGGGACGAAGCGAGAGUGACGGUACCUGCAGAAGAAGCACCGGCCAACUACGUGCCAGCAGCCGCGGUAAUACGUAGGGUGCAAGCGUUGUCCGGAAUUAUUGGGCGUAAAGAGCUCGUAGGCGGUCUGUCGCGUCGGCUGUGAAAACUCGGGGCUCAACCCCGAGCCUGCAGUCGAUACGGGCAGACUAGAGUGCUGUAGGGGAGACUGGAAUUCCUGGUGUAGCGGUGAAAUGCGCAGAUAUCAGGAGGAACACCGGUGGCGAAGGCGGGUCUCUGGGCAGUAACUGACGCUGAGGAGCGAAAGCGUGGGGAGCGAACAGGAUUAGAUACCCUGGUAGUCCACGCCGUAAACGGUGGGUGCUAGGUGUGAGCGGUAUUCCACGCCGUUCGUGCCGCAGCUAACGCAUUAAGCACCCCGCCUGGGGAGUACGGCCGCAAGGC